rnacentral:rRNA from 1 species
UUAUCUAUUGAUGUAUAAAUUUUAGUAUUGCAUACUAUAUUGGGAUAUUUUUAAUUUUUUUAAUUGAUAAAAAUAAAGUGUUUAAGGGUUAGUUUGGUUUAUUGUUACAAAAUUAAUUUUACUACCUUUAGGGUUGAAACAUCGAACUUUAUUAUAUUUGUUUUUUUUUAUCAUAUUAGAAAAUUAUAUGUUUAUUUAUUUUUUAAGAUAUUAAUAAUUUAAAGUUUUUUUGUUUUAAGUUUUGCAACUUUAUCUUAUGUUUUUUUUUUGUUUUUUUUUUUUAAUUAUAAAUUUUUAUAUUUUUUAUAAUCCAAUAAUUAGUAAAUUAAUAAAUAAUGUUUUUUUUUUUAAUAUAAAUCAGAUUACUAAUUAUCUCGAUCAAAUGUUUUUUAAAGACUUAUGGUUUAAAUUAAACCUUUCUUCUGCCCUAUGUAUUAUUUAUAAAUGGCCGUCUUAGCGUGAGGACAGGAAGGUAGCGAAAUAAUUUGUGCCUUUAUUGGGUUCCUGUAUGAAUGAAGGUUUGGUUGGUGACAUUCUUUUUUUUUAUUGAAUUUAAUAUACAUUUAAGAAAAAAUGUUUAUAAUACUACAAAGAUAAGUCUUCGGAAAUUUUGUUUUUUUGUUGUUUUUUUCUUCAAGGAAAUUUGUCUAGGGAAGAUUAUUAGAUAAUUUUUUUUCACUAUUUUUAAUUGAUUAAAUUACUCCGGAGUUAACAGAAAAUCAUACUUUAUAUAGUACUUAUAUUUUAGUAAGUUUUACAUCGAUGUUGUAUCCCUAUUUACCUAGAAAGAAUAAUGCUAGGCAAUUGAGACUGUUCUUCUUUUAAGAAAUGGGACGUGAUAUUAGUUUAAUUCAUCGCGAGGUAGAAUUGUUUAUCUUGAAUAUUAUUUUGUUUUAAUUAGGAUAGUACGAAAGGAAAUUCGCUAAGAUUUUAAAUCUUUUUUU